UGACGUAUGCGGAUGCUAUGAACUGGCGUACCAACUCCGGAUAAGUGGGUUCCUUGAGGUUGCAUAGUUGGCCUAGACCCAUGUUCUGGAACAGUCCUUCAAUGUCUGCUUUGAUUCCCAAUAUUGUCAUCGUCUCAGGACAUGCUAGUUGUGUAGCCGGAACGGCUACCUUCUUCAUGUUGUUGUAGUGGGUGGUAUCAGACUUAUCCCACUUCUUUGGCAUUUGCUUCUCCAGCUGUGACGAACCCUCUUCUUGUGUGUUUUUCUUUGCUGAUGUUUUCGUGCGCUUCAUUCUCUACAAAAUAGAAUCAUUGCUCUCAACAUGGUUAUAAUCAAUUAAGAACUCAAAGCAACAUGAAAAUGAAAAGCGAAAUCGAGUUGUGAUAAAAAAAAACGAAAUUGAAAAAAAUUCUCUAUCCCUAAAUCAUCUCAAAUCAUGUUCCAAACUCGUUGAUCACAGACAAUUGUGUUCUAUUCCAUGUUUAAACAUCUGUUUCAUGCAUAUUUGAUCAAGGAAUCAACACGGAAAUAAGAAAUUCACAAAACCCAAAAAAUUGCUCAAGAACACGAUUUCAGAAUGUGGAGAUUCGCGGAGUAUACCUGUUUUAGGGUGAAGACGAGUGUAGGAAUCAGGUAGAGCUCGAAAAAUCAAGUGGAAUAGAGCCCAAAAUUGUUCAAAUCGGAUGAUUAUAGAGAGAGAAAGGGGGGGGCGAAUUAUAGGGGAAAUCGGAGGGGAUGAGAGUUCUAAGGUUUAGAUCCAAAAAAAUGUCGGGUUUUGCCUUAUAAUUCUGUUUUCCGAACACGCAUCGAUCGAUGCGUUUUUUUUCUAUAACGCAUCGAUCGAUCACAUUCUUACGGCCCGGGCCAUCUUGGUAAUCGAUCGAUGCGUUUUUGUUCUAUAACGCAUCGAUCGAUGCAUUUUUAAAAAAACAUACAAGAUUUUCCGAGGAAAUUCCGAGGAACAAUUCAGAUUGUCGAUCGAUCGAUGGGAUACUCUCAUCGAUC
rnacentral:lncRNA from 1 species